GCACAGGGCUACAUGCACCAAGACAUGCAGCUCAAAUGAAACUAAAGAGGCACGGGUUCAACCCAAUUGGAUGGAGGAAGAUGUUAAACCACAUCCAAAAGGACCAGCUCCCAGGAAGCUUUCCCUUAGAGUUCUCCAAAUAGUCCUCCCUCCAAUCUGCUCCCCAUCUGCUGCUGGGAGUCACUCUGCCACCUGUAGAGGAUGUCUUUGAACAUGGGGUUGAUGUUUGGACAUGGCUGUGAAUACAAAAGACACAAGGGAUUCUGCAGUGAGACGGAAAGUAAUGAGCACUGCACACAUGCCGACAGCGCAGAUUGAAGAUGCUCCCUAACGUCUAUGUGCAUCCAUCCCAGCUGUACAAAUGAUGCUUUUACCCAGCAAGGUGGGCUCCAGGCACUCUGCACCUCCACUUGCUUUGUAUUCUGACUACAUUGGAAGGUGAGAAGACAUUAAAUUUGCCUUAUGCAACGCCACAUGUGACUGAAAUGGACAGUUUGACAAAGGAACAGCCACUUGCAUGGAGAUACGAUAGACCACUGGAAGGAGUUGUCCGAUGAGGACCAGCCCUCGGUCUCCCAGAAUGCCACUCUUCCCAUAGAAGCACACCACCGUCUACUGGAAGAUCAUCAGUUGAGCUUGGCCUAUUUUUCAUUUUGCCUCAUAAAAUCAGCCUUCCAACCCUUCACUCAUUUUUACUCUCUUUCAGCUCAUCCCUGAGAGUUCAACAUGGCUAAGAUAAUGUAACUUUUCAAUAAAACAUAAAAUAAUCGGUUCAUUUAUUCAUCAAAA
rnacentral:lncRNA from 1 species